CUGGCAGAGCCACUCGUCUGACACAGAGGAAGAGCCAUCCUUGAGCUAAGAGGAUUGGCUGUAAUUAACAUGGAGAGAUUAAAUGGGAAAGGAACACUGUCAAAAACCAAUUUCCACCACAGGAAAUGAGCGUGGCCUAGAAUAGAUGCAGAGCGUGAUUGAACUGCAGGACGGUCUCGGGAGGGUGGGUGAGCGGGCACACAUCUCCCGGGAGCCGCCCCAGACCUGUGCUUGGGACCACUGCUGAGUCAGAUCCAUGGAGACGGUUCUUUGAGGAUGAUGCGGAGAAACAGGAUGCUAGGCGUCUUUCGG
rnacentral:lncRNA from 1 species